AUAAGGUACAUAUACAUGCAAGUCGAGCGGAUCUUUAGAAGCUUGCUUCUGAAGAUUAGCGGCGGACGGGUGAGUAACACGUGGGCAACCUGCCUGUAAGACUGGGAUAACACCGGGAAACCGGUGCUAAUACCGGAUAAUUCUUUUCCUCUCAUGAGGAAAAGCUGAAAGACGGCGCAAGCUGUCACUUACAGAUGGGCCCGCGGCGCAUUAGCUAGUUGGUGAGGUAACGGCUCACCAAGGCGACGAUGCGUAGCCGACCUGAGAGGGUGAUCGGCCACACUGGGACUGAGACACGGCCCAGACUCCUACGGGAGGCAGCAGUAGGGAAUCUUCCGCAAUGGACGAAAGUCUGACGGAGCAACGCCGCGUGAGUGAUGAAGGCCUUCGGGUCGUAAAACUCUGUUGUUAGGGAAGAACAAGUACCGGAGUCACUGCCGGKUCCUUGACGGUACCUAACCAGAAAGCCACGGCUAAUUACGUGCCAGCAGCCGCGGUAAUACGUAGGUGGCAAGCGUUGUCCGGAAUUAUUGGGCGUAAAGCGCGCGCAGGCGGUCCUUUAAGUCUGAUGUGAAAGCCCACGGCUCAACCGUGGAGGGUCAUUGGAAACUGGGGGGACUUGAGUGCAGAAGAGGGAAAGCGGAAUUCCACGUGUAGCGGUGAAAUGCGUAGAGAUGUGGAGGGAACACCAGUGGCGAAGGCGGCUUUCUGGUCUGUAACUGACGCUGAGGCGCGAAAGCGUGGGGGAGCAAACAGGAUUAGAUACCCUGGUAGUCCACGCCGUAAACGAUGAGUGCUAAGUGUUAGAGGGUUUCCGCCCUUUAGUGCUGCAGCUAACGCAUUAAGCACUCCGCCUGGGGAGUACGGUCGCAAGACUGAAACUCAAAGGAAUUGACGGGGGCCCGCACAAGCGGUGGAGCAUGUGGUUUAAUUCGAAGCAACGCGAAGAACCUUACCAGGUCUUGACAUCCUCUGACACUCCUAGAGAUAGGAUUUUCCCCUUCGGGGGACAGAGUGACAGGUGGUGCAUGGUUGUCGUCAGCUCGUGUCGUGAGAUGUUGGGUUAAGUCCCGCAACGAGCGCAACCCUUGAUCUUAGUUGCCAGCAUUAAGUUGGGCACUCUAAGGUGACUGCCGGUGACAAACCGGAGGAAGGUGGGGAUGACGUCAAAUCAUCAUGCCCCUUAUGACCUGGGCUACACACGUGCUACAAUGGAUGGUACAAAGGGCAGCGAAGCCGCGAGGUGAAGCCAAUCCCAUAAAACCAUUCUCAGUUCGGAUUGUAGGCUGCAACUCGCCUACAUGAAGCCGGAAUCGCUAGUAAUCGCGGAUCAGCAUGCCGCGGUGAAUACGUUCCCGGGCCUUGUACACACCGCCCGUCACACCACGAGAGUUUGUAACACCCGAAGUCGGUGGGGUAACCGUAAGGGAGCCAGCCGCCUUGCGUGAC
rnacentral:rRNA from 1 species